rnacentral:rRNA from 1 species
UACAGAGGUCCCAAGCGUUGUUCGGAUUCACUGGGCGUAAAGGGUGCGUAGGUGGCGGGGUAAGUUUGAUGUGAAAUCUCCGGGCUUAACCCGGAAACUGCAUUGAAUACUAUUCUGCUCGAGGUUUGGAGGGGGGACUGGAAUUCUCGGUGUAGCAGUGAAAUGCGUAGAUAUCGAGAGGAACACCAGUGGCGAAGGCGAGUCCCUGGACAACACCUGACACUGAGGCACGAAAGCUAGGGGAGCGAACGGG